rnacentral:rRNA from 1 species
UGGCUCAGGACGAACGCUGGCGGCGUGCUUAACACAUGCAAGUCGAACGGAAAGGUCUCUUCGGAGAUACUCGAGUGGCGAACGGGUGAGUAACACGUGGGUAAUCUGCCCUGCACUUCGGGAUAAGCCUGGGAAACUGGGUCUAAUACCGAAUAGGACCACUUGGCGCAUGCCUUGUGGUGGAAAGCUUUUGCGGUGUGGGAUGGGCCCGCGGCCUAUCAGCUUGUUGGUGGGGUGAUGGCCUACCAAGGCGACGACGGGUAGCCGGCCUGAGAGGGUGUCCGGCCACACUGGGACUGAGAUACGGCCCAGACUCCUACGGGAGGCAGCAGAAGGG